ACAUCUCUCUCACGAUCUGUUCUCCACAACCUUUGCAAACCUCGGAAGUCGAAACCAAAGUUUGCAGCUACGAAGAUAAACUUUAAGCUCAAAACCUCCCCUUUUAACCCCAUAAAUAGCUCAGUUACACUCUCGCUACUCUAUCUUUAUUGUGUUGUCAAUUUAUGUGACUUGUGGUAUUCAGUGAUGAAAGAUUAGAUCUUUUCCAACGAAGACGGGCUAAAAUUGUGUUCCAUUACUCUAAAUUUUGGUAUUAAAUACACCUCCAUUUCGUUUAUCUGUUGGUCUUUGUAGAGAUUUAGAGGCUUAUGAAUGGCUUGCAGAGUGGCUGGCAAAAGGGGUAUUGAUGUUGGUCUCACAAGAGUUUUGACUUCACCAUCGCUAGGGCAUGCUGUGGCGUUAACUUCAAGAACUAGUCUUGAUGGUGCUUCAGUCAGAUAUAUACCUGAGUCUUCUUUCAGCUCAUUUCUACAAGGGUCUGGUCAUCACACUACAAAAGAAUCAUCUAUCAGGUGCUUUCACGCUAGUCGAGAACUGUGGGCUAGAAGAAAAAAUGAUAACCAAGGAGGUGAUUUGAAGACGCAAAAGAAAGGGAAGUUUGCUAAAAGGAUCAAAAAACCUCCAGUUGAUGCUCCAUAUGUGCCUCCUAAACUGAAAAGAAUUACCAAGUCCUUGCAAGAUAAAACAAUUGACAUAUUUGAAGGCAUGACCACUGUUGAGCUUGCCAAGCGCACUGGUCAGUCAGUUAUAACUCUGCAGGAAUUUCUUGUUAAUCUUGGGGAGAAGGUUGUCUCAGAAUUUGACCCACUCAAGAUCGAUGUUGCGGAGCUGGUUGUAAUGGAGGUUGGGGCCAAUGUCAGGAGGCAACACUCCAAUGAAGGUUCAGAAAUUCUUCCCCGACCAGUGGUUGUAACAGUCAUGGGUCAUGUUGACCAUGGUAAAACUUCUCUUUUGGAUGCUCUACGUCAAACAUCAGUGGCAGCAAAGGAAGCUGGAGGCAUAACUCAGCAUCUGGGUGCUUUUGUUGUGAGCAUGCCUUCAGGGGCAUCAAUCACAUUCCUUGACACUCCUGGUCAUGCUGCUUUUAGUGCAAUGCGAGCAAGAGGUGCAGCAGUAACCGAUCUAGUUGUGCUCGUUGUUGCAGCUGAUGAUGGGGUGAUGCCUCAAACUCUUGAAGCCAUAUCUCAUGCAAAAUCAGCUAAUGUACCAGUUGUAGUUGCAAUUAAUAAAUGUGAUAAACCGAGUGCAAACCCUGAGAGAGUCAAACUCCAGCUUGCAUCUGAAGGAUUUUUGCUUGAGGAAAUGGGUGGAGAUAUUCAGGUAGUUGAAGUUUCAGCUGUUACAAAAACUGGAUUGGAUAACCUGGAGGAGGCUAUACUUCUUCAGGCAGAGAUGAUGGAAUUAAAAGCACGUGUUGAUGGUCAUGCUCAAGCUUAUGUAGUAGAGGCAAAACUUGACAAAGGACGGGGUCCUUUGGCUACUGCUAUAGUGAAGGCGGGGACUUUAGUUUGUGGGCAGCACGUGGUUGUUGGCUCAGAGUGGGGAAGAAUAAGGGCUAUUAGGGAUAUGUCAGGGAAGCUGACUGAGCAGGCAAGACCAGCAAUGCCAGUUGUUAUCGAAGGGCUGAAGGGGCUUCCUAUGGCUGGUGAUGAUGUUACUGUUGUGGAAACUGAGGAGCGAGCUAGAAUGCUAAGUGCAGGGAGGAGAAGGAAAUAUGAAAAAGACAGGCUUAGGCAGAUCAUGGAGCAAAGGACAGAAACUAACGAACCAUCAGAAGAUGACUCUGUUGUGCCUGAGAGGACUGAAAUGCCAUUAAUAGUAAAAGCAGACGUGCAAGGAACUGUCCAAGCUGUUACAGAUGCCUUGAGGACUUUAAACAGCCCUCAGGUUUUUGUGAAUGUGGUCCAUGUUGGUGUUGGGCCUAUUUCUCAGUCUGAUGUGGACUUGGCACAAGCCUGUGGUGCAUAUAUAGUUGGGUUCAAUGUGAAGAGUCCACCUAGUUCUAUUAGUCAGGCUGCGAUGCAAGCUGGUACAAAGAUUAUGCAACACCAGGUGAUCUAUCACCUAUUGGAUGAAGUUGGCAAUUUGAUAGUAGACAAAGCCCCUGGGACACUCGAGACCCAGGUAGCUGGGGAGGCUGAAGUGCUGAACAUCUUUGAGCUAAGAGGAAGGAGCAAGUCUGCAGGAGGUGAUAUAAAGAUUGCUGGCUGCAGAGUGAUGGAUGGCCAUUUUAGCAAAUCAUCGACCAUGAGGCUUCUAAGGAGUGGGGAAGAAGUGUUCGAAGGACCUUGUGCAUCUCUAAAGACUAACAAGCAUGAUGUGGAAUUGGUGGAGAAAGGAAAUGAAUGUGGACUUGUGAUCCUUGGCUGUAAUGAUUUUCAGAUUGGAGACGUCAUCCAGUGCUUGGAGCAAGUAGUUAGGAAGCCCAAGUUGAUCAUAUCAGACAAUGGUAUUGCUCGAAUUGAGUGCUAUUAGUGCCUUUAAUAGCGAUAAUUCUUCAAGACAGGUUCAAUUCUCCAGUCCAGAUGUUUCCAGUUGGUGUUGAGUGAUGGCUUCAGCUGUUGAGGUAGUUGUUAAGCAUGACAAGGUGCGUAAAUGAUAACAGAAACAGCUCUUCAACUGAGGCUAACACUCAUCGGGUCCAAGUGUAAUGGGGGAAAUUCAGUAAUAGCUUGGCAUUUGCGAGUCUCCUUGUUGAAAGACUCCUUGUGUUCACCUGGCCAUUACAGCACAAGGUCAUUUAAAAAAUCAGUUUUGAAAUCUUUUUUGGCGAUCCCCGAUGUAGAGCUGAAUUUGAAGGCAAAUAAUAUGAGCUGAUGACAGAAGGCAUGGUAGAAUCGUAGACUUAUCAACAGAACCCCAAACCAGUUAUAGAUUUAACAAAAGAGCAAUAUAAAAAAAAUGUGAUUUUGGAUAUCGGUGGUCGGGUUUUUACCCAUAAUUAUAUUCAAUUUAACUUCUUAUAUUUUAUAAAAUAUAAAUUUGAUUUAUUCAA